rnacentral:rRNA from 1 species
CAGCCGCCGCGGUAAUACGAAGGGGGCUAGCGUUGCUCGGAAUGACUGGGCGUAAAGGGCGCGUAGGCGGCGGCCAAAGUCAGGCGUGAAAUUCCCGGGCUCAACCUGGGGGCUGCGUUUGAUACUUGGUUGCUUGAGUGGGGAAGAGGGUCGUGGAAUUCCCAGUGUAGAGGUGAAAUUCGUAGAUAUUCGGAAGAACACCAGUGGCGAAGGCGGCUCACUGGCUCAUUCUAGACGCUGAGGUGCGAAAGCGUGGGGAGCAAACAGGAUUAGAUACCCCGGUAGUCCCUGUCUCUUAUAC